rnacentral:lncRNA from 1 species
UGACAUUAAAGAGAAUAGAAAAUUUAUUUAUUUAUUUAUAGCUUAUUUUCCAUCAUUUACACAUCAACACUUAUUGAAGGUUGCAAGGCCAGAAAAAUUGAGAUUUUAGUAUAUUACCAAACGGGAAACUAGGGGAGAAGCCAAUGAAAAAGUUCAAUUAUUCAUUAUUACUGUCUCCCAUCCAGAAAACAAACGGUUGACAUUUCAGAUUAAUGAUUGUUGGCUAAAAAUAAGAGGGUUCUGGCAUAUCUAGCAAUAAAUCGAAUCGAAUCGAAAGAUGAAAGAGUUUACAUAAUCGAUCCCAAAUUAAUCAAGAACGAAGCUUAGUUCGUUAUUACUUUACGUUUAUUACGUUAUACAUUUUUAUCUCAUGCUCAUAGUUAAAGUUCUGUUUAUUCUGUGCACAUAAUCAGCUACCGAUGCAGAAGAAGAAGCAAACUAUCCACCUAAAAAUGCAGAAGGCCACCUUCAAUCUUCCUUCGACCAUCAGCCUCAACUGUACAAGUUGCUUAAAAUAGCUAUUUAAGGGUUAUUUCUUCUCUCGGGAUAGUCAACGGCUACACUCUUAGGUAGGGAUGUUAAUUCGGCUCCCUGGAUUGGAAGACCCAUGGAUUGGCCCAUAAAUAGAUCGAGCAUACUCUGCUCGUGCCCCCAUGGAACCAAGCCUCAAUUCCCGACGAAGGCUGGAGCCCAAGUAGCAAGCUAAAAUGGUCCGUGACAUGACAUUUUGGCCCAUGUCACAUGCCUGUAUUUGCCUGCCUAAGCUUCAAGCAGCAGCUGCUGCGCUGCCCGCAAGGUUGCAACCUGUUACAUAUCAUGCAAAAAAAUAAUAAUAAAAAAAAAAAAAUUGAGCCAAUAAAACCCGAGCCUAAAGCCACGAGUCAAGCCUCGAUAUUUCGUCUGAGCUUUGGCUUGGCUGAAGCCAAAAAAACCUGAGCCAUUUUUUGCGUGGGCUGUGCCCGAGUUACAAACUUCGGCUUGCGAGCUGACUCGAUCCGACUCUUUUAGAUCCUUACUCUUAUAUUAUAUCAUGAGAAAGGUUGAAACAUAGCACUUCUAACUAAUCUGGGAUUUCUGGUUCUUAUCCCAUUCGUUUUCAUGUCAAAAUCACAAAAAUUACACUACACAAAUGAACAAAAAACAACCUAGUACCUUAAUCCUUGUUUCAAUCUAUUUUAACUGGCCUUUUUGGUUCAUUUAUUUGUAUGAUGUACUCAUUUGGACUCCAAUAUCUUCCGGUCACAACCUCUACUCGAACUGGUGCAAUUUAAUUGGGAUUCGAUACAAUUUUCACAAUGGACAAAAAAUCACUCUUAUAGUAAACUCUCUUUUGGCUCUCACCAUUUCUUCGACCCUCCUGUUACGAGAAGUUCAAGAAAUCAGCCCACUUAAGUCAACAAAAAAACGAAAAAUCACAAAAACUGAAAACUGAAAACUGAAAAAAAAAAAUAAAAAAAAACAAUGAAGAACACGGUAUUUUCGCCCUAAGGCAAGAGGUUCGGAACUUCGUUCCUAAUCCCCUUUUGAGCUUCCGUCAAACGGAAGAAAUCACUAUAUCAAUGGAAUCGACGAAUCUGUCCAGUACAAUCUUUUGGCACGCAGCAGAAAAUCACACAAAAUUUUCCCCAAAAUUAAGCCUCAUAAAUCGACAACAUUCACUCAAGAAUGAUGAAUCUAAGCCUAUACAAUAAUCACUCAAGAUUAUUUCAACAUAAGCCUCUAUACAUUCGACAAUGGCAUUCACUCAAGAAUAACACCAAUACACCUUGUUAAAUCACUCAAGAUUAUCUACACAAGGUUGAAUUAAUUUCUCAUCAAUAGGGGCUAAUUUUUGGUGUGCAAAAAUUGAUAGAUUGAAAAGACCACCGAGAGAGGAGAGAUGAGAGGCAGAGAGGAACUCGUAAAAUGAGAGAAAGGAAUCUGAAUUCUGUUUUUGGUUCUGCUGGACGUCCAACCCUAAUGCCAAUUUAAUAUGAAACCCACUAGUGUCUUCAUCCAAUGGUGUAAAGUGAGACACUUGUCAAAAUCUGGCCAGCCAUUUAAAUGAGAAGAAAAACGUGUUCAGCAGCCCCCUUUUUGGCAAAAUGAAAACAGCAACUCUCCAAAUUAAUUACAAGAUCCGGCCCAAUUAGCAGGUUUAUUCCAGCAGCCCAUCAUUGUGCCAUUUUCUCUACAUCGUAUUUCAAAAUCACAGUACCGGGGACUCGAACAAAACCUCGAAAAGAAAGCAUACACUAGGUUUUGUAUGCACAAUAGCAGCCUCCGCUGGUUCUGCAUUUAACACAACUUAUCUUUCAAAAAAUGAUCAAAAGGGAAACUCUUAUUGCGAUA